UUGCACUGUUCGUAACCUUUUGACAGCAUUUUUCUGUGAAUAGGUUCCAUUCCAGUGCUACAUUAAAUCCAAUAAUAGAAGGCUGACAAAUUCCGUGUCCCUUCUGUAUUUGGAGACAAAG
ensembl:snoRNA